AUGCACGCUGGCGGCAUGCCUUACACAUGCAAGUCGAACGGCAGCAUGACCUAGCUUGCUAGGUUGAUGGCGAGUGGCGAACGGGUGAGUAAUGCAUCGGAACGUGCCUUUUAGUGGGGGAUAACGUAGCGAAAGUUACGCUAAUACCGCAUAUUCUCUGAGGAGGAAAGCAGGGGACCUUCGGGCCUUGCGCUAGAAGAGCGGCCGAUGUCGGAUUAGCUAGUUGGUGAGGUAAAGGCUCACCAAGGCAACGAUCCGUAGCGGGUCUGAGAGGAUGAUCCGCCACACUGGGACUGAGACAAGGCCCAGACUCCUACGGGAGGCAGCAGUGGGGAAUUUUGGACAAUGGGCGCAAGCCUGAUCCAGCCAUGCCGCGUGAGUGAAGAAGGCCUUCGGGUUGUAAAGCUCUUUCGGCUGGGAAGAAAUCGCACCCUCUAAUACAGGGUGUGGAUGACGGUACCAGCAUAAGAAGCACCGGCUAACUACGUG
rnacentral:rRNA from 1 species